rnacentral:lncRNA from 1 species
AUACCCCUCUCAUUUCCUCACUGGACUCUAUCUCUCUAUCUCUAGUUCUCUCUAGAAUCUUCCCCCUUCCCUUCUCUCCGAUGAGUUCCCUUCAUCUUCUCUGGCCACCUUCUGACCUGAAUCCAUGGUGGAUUCACCACCCACUAGCCACCUAUGGCUCCUCACGUUUGGUUACUGAAGUUUUGUGACUUGACCACGGAGAGUUGGGUCCAGACCUCUAUUGAUUCAAGCUUUACAGCUAUCUCCGGCCUUGUUCCGACAAGCUAUGUCUGUUUUGAGCCUGGCUCCGACUUCUCCUUCUUAGAUCCAAGUAUUUCUCACAUUUUAGGUUUCUUUGAAAACCCUAGCUUUUGAGGUUUUCUUAUCUCUUUAGAUUUGUUCCAGAUCUCUGCUUUCCCGAAGCCUUUAAACGGUUUUCUGAUAUCUUUCAAAACCGUUAUUUUUUCGAUAUAGGGGUUUUAAAUGUCUAUCUGAUUUUCUUCUUCCCUUGUAUGUUUCUUCUACUAUGUUUCUUUUAUUGUGUUCUUUGUAUGUUGCUUCUACUGUGCUUCUUCUACUAUGUUUCAUAUUAGUUUCUUCUACUAUGUUUAUUCUGCUAUGUUUCUUCUACUGUGUUCUGAUUAGUUUUCUUCUACUAUGUUGCGUAUUAGUUUCUUCUACUAUGUUUUCUUUGAGCUCUUCUACCGUGUUUCACAUAUUACUCUUCUACUAUAUUUCUCAUGAGUUUCUGUUGCUGAAGGAACAUGUUAAAGUUUUCAGUUCUUCUCUGAGACCACUGAACAUGUUUUGACUUAAUUACUUGUCCUCUCAUCUCUGCACUCGAUUGAUGGUAGAAACCCUGAAAUUUGGGGGUUCUUUCAAGUUUGGAAACCAUUCGCUAUAUGAUUUGCUUGAACUGGUUUUAUUUCAAAAACCCUAACUCUUUCAGGCCUAUUUCGAGUCUCUGAACUGAGUUUUGAAAUCCUUAUUUUUCAUAUGAUUCUGACUUUUGCUACACUCUUCUAAGGCCUUUUACACUGGACUUGUGUAUGCAACUAGAUGCUACUUAUCUUCUAACCUAUGUGGCAGCAUGCUCCUGUAGUCUACUAUCUACUGAUUUUUCAAUGACACGGCAUCUUCAUUCAGCUUAACAUGUUUGUAUGCUCUUUAUAUGUGCUGGACUUCCCCCUCUAAAAUGGCUUUCAAAUCUUGAUUAGUUUCAGACUUCCUCCUGUAUAGGUUUGAUUGAUUUCUUUCCUUAUUUGCUGAUCCCUAUGACUCAAUUUAAGUUACUCGACUUUCCUUAACUUUUCGGACUUGGUUCAUUCAUGGACCAGUGAUUACAAAAUCUUUGAUCCUUCAUUUACUGGCUACUAACUGAUUUCUCUUACCUUAUUUAUGAAAUCGUGUAUUUCAAAGCUCUGCCCCUAAAAUAAACUUCUAUUUAUCCAUUCCUAAUUUCCUACUUUGCACAAAAUCCUUGUUUGAUUUCUUUCCUUAAAUAACUUUUACCGUUUGAAUGUGAAUUCCUUAAUUAAAGGGAGUCUUGUGGGAUUGAUUCUUUAUUGAUAUUCAGUUCCUUAACUGUUUUCUUACCUUGUUUCUGCCUGUUGUUUUUACACUAUAAAAGCACGACUCUUUCAUUCGCAAAAGGACAUCAUCACUCAUUCAUAGUCUUUCUGAAAAUCACACUCACAUGCAAUAUUAUUCUCUUUUAUUUCUUGCAUUGUGGCCUAUUUACAAGACCUACAACCUUUUUUAUUGUAUUUCUCUGAAGCUGGUAUGUUCUGAUUUAAAUUUCAGCACCACAAUAAUGUGUUUAUCCCUGUCUACUUACUGUUUUUGUAUAGUUCACCAUUAAUGAUUUAUUUCCCUGCUUGUUCUAUUAUGAAUCUCAACCCCCCCUCCCAUGUGUUUGAGCUAUGGUUUAAGGCAUGACAAUAUGAAAAUUAUUGUCCAUGAAUUAAACUUGAUCCCUUGGGAUCCUAGCACCUAAUAGUGUGUUCUAACAGGCUUCUGGUGUGCUAGUAUUCUCCAUUGUUGGGUAUUCCCGCAGCCUGCCCUUGCCUCUUUACAAUCUCCCCGUUCCCCUGAAUCCUUAUAUGUACUUAUUUGUAAUUGUUUCAUGUCCCCUUUGCCCCUCUCAGAAUUUUGUUCCUGCACUUUUACUCUCUCUUAGUCUUUAAGUUCUACCCCCCCUCCCCCCUCUGCCUCCUGUUGUGAGCCUUGCCUUGAGACCUUGAGUUCCCUCUAAACUUGGACACUUGAGGGGAUGCCUUCACACUGCACUUGUCUUAAUCUGGU